GGGCCCGUAGCUCAGCUAGGUAGAGCACCCGGCUCAUAACCGGGGGGUCGCGGGUUCGAAUCCCGCCGGGCCCA
rnacentral:tRNA from 1 species